CCCCCAGAGUGUGUCAGGCAUCAGCCAGGCAUCGCUCAGCCCCUUUCCCUCUGGGGGAGCAAGGAGUGGUGCUGGGUUUGUCUCUGCUGGGGUUUCUCCU
ensembl:miRNA